rnacentral:rRNA from 1 species
UGGGGAAUAUUGGGCAAUGGGCGAAAGCCUGACCCAGCCAUGCCGCGUGAGUGAUAAGGCCUUAGGGUUGUAAAGCUCUUUCAGUGGUGAGGAUAAUGACGGUAACCACAGAAGAAGCCCCGGCUAACUUCGUGCCAGCAGCCGCGGUAAUACGAAGGGGGCUAGCGUUGUUCGGAAUCACUGGGCGUAAAGCGCGCGUAGGUGGAUUUGUAAGUUAGGGGUGAAAUCCUGAGGCUCAACCUCAGAACUGCCUUUAAAACUGCAAGUCUAGAGUAUCGGAGGGGGUGGCGGAAUUCCUAGUGUAGAGGUGAAAUUCGUAGAUACUAGGAGGAACACCAGUGGCGAAGGCGGCCACCUGGACGAUUACUGACACUGAGGCGCGAAAGCGUGGGGAGCAAAC